rnacentral:rRNA from 1 species
UACGUAGGGUGCAAGCGUUAAUCGGAAUUACUGGGCGUAAAGCGUGCGCAGGCGGUUGUGCAAGACAGAUGUGAAAUCCCCGGGCUUAACCUGGGAAUGGCAUUUGUGACUGCACGGCUAGAGUGUGUCAGAGGGGGGUAGAAUUCCACGUGUAGCAGUGAAAUGCGUAGAGAUGUGGAGGAAUACCGAUGGCGAAGGCAGCCCCCUGGGAUAACACUGACGCUCAUGCACGAAAGCGUGGGGAGCAAACAGG